ACCCAUUUAAAGCUCGUCAAAGGACUUGUUCAAUAUCCUGGGUCCCUUUCUGUUCAUUUUUUCUCUCCCCCCGUGCUGUCCUCCUUCAACUUUCCCCGACCACCCCUCCUCUUUUUAAGCUCUUGGCACCAAGUAACUAUGAAGACUCUGAGAACUGGACCAUCCCAAGGCUGUAGCUUUCUUCAAGCCUGGCAGGCUCUGUCGUGGUGAAGAGUCUGAAGGCUUUUUCUUUUCCAGUAACACAGGAGGUGAUUGAAUGGAAGGAGUGGCCAGUCACUCUUUGGCGUCCAGGAUCCAAGAAGAAACAGAUGAGGAGGAAGGAGGAUAAACAACUUCUGGACAAAGCGAGCCUUCCUUCACUGGCCUUCUCUCCUUUCUCUCCCGAGGGACAUUGUGACUUUGAGGCCUCUUACCUCUGCAAACUAGCCAGGAGAAAAGCUGUGACUGAAGAAACUGCCUCCUCCAAAGUUUCUGGGCCCUGCCCUUCACAGGGCAAUGUUCCCAGCUAUGGUAAGAAGCAAAGAGAAGACAAAGACCAAAGCCUGAGGCAGAAGGGGAAUCACAUACAAAGACCACCAUCUCGCUCUGCCUCUCCUACCAGCUUGUUCUCAUCCUCUGGCUGUUUCUAAGCUCAGAGAUCUUUCAGGCCUGCCCAGGAUGGCUGGAACAAACUCCUCAUACUAUUUAUUCAGUCAGCAAAUGUUUACGAAGUCCGAGUGAGGUGGCUCAUGCUUGCAAUCCCGGAAAUUUGAGAGGCUAAAGUGGGAGGAUCGCUUGAGGCCAGGAGUUCAAGACCAGCCUGGACAACAUAGCAAGAGCCCAUCUCUACACAAAAUUAAAAAAUUAGCCAGGUGUGAUGGCCAUGGUUAUAGUCCCAGCUACUCUGGAGGCUGAGGUGGGAGGAUCACUUGAAGCCGGGAGUUUGAGGCUGCAGUGAGCUAUGAUUGCACCACUGCACUCUAGCCUGAGCAAUGGAGCAAGACCCUGUCUGAAAAAAAAAGUUUGUUAAGAGUGACGGGCACUCUUUCUAGGCACUGGGGAAGUAGCAAGAAACAAAGCUGAGGACAGCAAUCAACAAAUAAAAACAAAAUAGAAUGUCAAGAAUUAUAAGUGCUCUGAAGAAAAUCAAAGCAGAGACAGGGGCUAGAGAGCAACUAUUCCACAAGGUGGUCAACGAAGGGCUCUCCCAAGAGGCCUGGAAUCUACUUCCCCACCUUCCCUCAUGCAGGGCUUGCUUGGGGCCGCCGUCCUCCUGCUUUGCCAGAGGACUCCCCUCCCAGCCUGCUCUUGUAUGUGUUUAUCUUGAUUUGAAGAUCAGGGAGGCGCUGGGCAUGUCUGCUUCAGCAGGAGACCUGUUACAUUAUUAACUCAUUCAAGACUCACUAGGACUGGGAGACAUCAAGCACAUAUACAAACCUCCGAACACAAACUCUGUUCUUUUCCAAUGCCUGGUCCAGAACAUGAAUGGCCAUUUAAAUAUGGAUUUUUUUUUUUUUUUUUUUUUUUGAGACUGAGUCUCACUCUGUUGCCCAGGCUGGAGUGCAGUGGCACAAUCUCCGCUCACUGCAACCUCCGCCUCCUGGGUUCAAGCGAUUCUUCUGCCUCAGCCUUCCGAGUAGCCG
rnacentral:lncRNA from 1 species